rnacentral:rRNA from 1 species
UACAGGGGGGGCAAGCGUUGUUCGGAAUUACUGGGCGUAAAGGGCUCGUAGGCGGCCAACUAAGUCACACGUGAAAUCCCCAGGCUUAACCUGGGAACUGCGUGUGAUACUGGAUGGCUUGAAUUCGGGAGAGGGAUGCAGAAUUCCAGGUGUAGCGGUGAAAUGCGUAGAUAUCUGGAGGAAUACCGGUGGCGAAGGCGGCAUCCUGGACCGACAUUGACGCUGAUGAGCGAAAGCGUGGGGAGCGAACAGG